AUACGGAGGGUCCAAGCGUUAUCCGGAAUCAUUGGGUUUAUAGGGUCCGCAGGCGGUCAAUUAAGUCAGAGGUGAAAGCCCAUCGCUCAACGAUGGAACUGCCUUUGAUACUGGUUGACUUGAGUUAUACGGAAGUAGAUAGAAUAAGUAGUGUAGCGGUAAAAUGCAUAGAUAUUACUUAGAAUACCGAUUGCGAAGGCAGUCUACUACGUAUAUACUGACGCUGAGGGACGAAAGCGUGGGGAGCGAACAGGAUUAGAUACCCUAGUAGUCC
rnacentral:rRNA from 1 species